rnacentral:rRNA from 1 species
CGGAUCGCAGGCUGCAACCCGCCCUGCGUGAAGUUGGAAUUGCUAGUAAUCGCGGAUCAGCAUGCCGCGGUGAAUACGUUCCCGGGCCCUUGUACACACCGCCCGUCACACCAUGGGAGCCGGUAAUACCCGAAGUCAGUAGCCUAACCGCAAGGGGGCGCUGCCGAAGGUAGGAUUGGCGACUGGGGUGAAGUCGUAACAAGGUAAC